rnacentral:lncRNA from 1 species
AGGCCUUCGACCCACACGAAGGUCGGUAAAACGCUCCCGAACAUUGCCCACCACUCUCUGAUUAUAAUAUAUUUAUAAUUAGAGACUCGAGAGGUCAGGUAUGCGAAAAGUCACGAUAGCUAAUGAUGAGUUGUCUGGGGAAGCCAAACGGUCUAUCCUCGAUUCUCGAAACGCUGUACGCCUUUCCAUGCCUGGUCUCACCUUGAGUAUUUAUUAGCCGCCCUUGGGGAACGUGCAUCUACACCUAUAAAAACCCCCUCUUCCCCCUCAUUAUCACUUUUCCAGAAUCUUCUCACCACAGAAUCUCUGUUCAAAUUUUUCCGGCAAGAGCGAUUUCCGGCGAGUACUCCGUUCUUAAUUCCUUCUUAUUCCUGCUGAUUUCAACCAUUCCACUUGCUUUCGAGCUUCAUUCUUGUCCACUUUCUUCCUAAAAGUUCACAUCUGUGUCUCAUUCCCUUCCAAUCGCCCCCAAAUGGCUGAUUCUAGCACUCCUCUUCCUGUCAGUGAGUCAAUUCCUCCAUCCGUCACCACCGGUGACCUGAUUCCGGCCGAUCUGCCGGUGACUCCU